CCGGCCCGCAGUGGGGUCAGACCCCUCUGAGGACGAGCUCCUCUCCCGUUUUCCUUCCUCCACCCCGUGCCGGGAGCCUGCACGGGGCUUUGCUCGCCUCGGGGCGGAGGAAAAUCCGUCUGACUCGUCAGUCAGAACGGAGAAUCGAGAAGUUCAAUCCCGGCGCGCCCAGAGGAGCCGGCGAGUUCCUGCCCGCUGUCACCGCUGGCGUUCCGGAGCGCGGACGGACUGACAGACUGACGGUAGGCAGCGAGCCAUGAAGUUCUGGCUCCGGAGUUAUCUUGCAUCCCGUGGCGUUGCGGUGCGGGGGCGAGCAUGAAGCAGCAGUACAGUGUAUGUGCAGGCAAAGUUGGGGAAGACGUCUGGUGUGCUCCUCUGGGGGUGCCUGGGUUUUCGGGUGCGUUCUGAUGCUCAGCUCUCCCCUGUAUCAGGAUGUGCAGCACUGGAAACCAACAUCAACUUCAGUAAACCAUGUAAUGGAGGCAGUUCUGGAUUUCUGAAAGGGCUCAGAGUGUCUGCAGUAGUGAAUGUUAUCUGAUUCUUGUAUUGUCAUGCACCAGGGUCCUUAACCUGCUGCUGCUCUUUGGGCUUCUGCAAAUGCCACGGACCUAGCAGAAGGUGGUGGAUGUGGACUUUUAAACUGUGUCUCAACAUCUCAUCCUCAACUAUUUUUAGUCUGAUUGCACUACGAAAGAAAAGCUGCUAAUGGGAUAAAUGUUGAGACUUUACAAGAACUGACUUGAAGUACCGAAAGCCAUUAUUAUUAUUAUUUUAUUAUUACUAUUAUUAAUCAAGAAGAGCUUGAAGCUAAGUCUAUAUCUGAUCAGUUGUUAUCAUUUCACAGUAACAGUCAUGGCAAGUAAACGAAAAUCAACAACACCCUGCAUGGUCUUAGCCAAUGAGCAGGAUCCAGAUCUAGAAAUGGUGUCAGACUUGGAGGAAGGACCACCUGUGCUCACACCAGCAGAUAACCCUACAGCAGAGGGUGUAACAAGUGAUGAAGAUGUUCAUGAGUGUGUGGAUUCAGACAAUAAGAAAAGCACAAAUAAAGUAGAAGGUGGUUAUGAGUGUAAAUACUGCACUUUUCAGACUCCAGAUCUCAAUAUGUUUACUUUUCAUGUGGAUUCAGAACACCCCAAUGUAGUAUUAAAUUCAUCCUACGUUUGUUUAGAAUGUAAUUUCCUUACCAAAAGAUAUGAUGCCCUCUCAGAACAUAAUUUGAAGCACCAUCCUGGAGAGGAGAAUUUUAAAUUGACUAUGGUGAAACGUAAUAACCAGACAAUCUUUGAACAGACAGUAAAUGAUCUCACUUUUGAUGGGAGUUUUGUUAGAGAAGAAAAUGCUGGACAGGCUGACUCUUCUGAGGUCCCCUCAUCAGGGAUCUCUAUUAGCAAAACUCCUAUCAUGAAAAUGAUGAAAAGCAAACCCGAGGCUAAACGUAUUGCUGUUUUCCACAAUACAGUUGAUGACAUUCCUGGUGAAGAAAAGGGAACUGAAAAUGAGCCAGACCCUGAAGUAGUAGAAAACCCCCCACCGGCAGUUUCUGAAUCAAAACCAAGCCAUUCAGUUGUGUGCAGUGCAGCAGAUGUGGCCGGGGCAGUAGUGACCCCGGCACCAGUGCUUCAGCCUGGGGUGGCACAGGUUAUAACAGCUGUUACAGCUCCCCAGAACUCAAACCUGAUUCCAAAAGUACUAAUACCUGUAAAUAGCAUUCCAGCCUAUAACACUGCUUUGGAUAACAAUCCUCUUUUGCUUAACACCUACAACAAAUUCCCAUACCCAACCAUGUCGGAAAUCACUGUUCUCUCCUCUCAAGCUAAGUACACAGAAGAACAGAUUAAAAUAUGGUUUUCUGCCCAGCGUCUGAAACACGGAGUGAGCUGGACGCCAGAGGAGGUGGAGGAAGCAAGGAGGAAACAAUUUAAUGGCACAGUGCAUACUGUGCCACAGACAAUUACCGUUAUUCCGGCACACAUUUCGGCCUCUAGCAAUGGUUUACCUUCAAUUUUACAGACAUGCCAAAUAGUUGGUCAGCCAGGACUUGUUCUCACUCAAGUUGCAGGUACAAAUACAUUACCAGUAACAGCCCCAAUAGCUUUGACUGUAGCAGGAGUCCCAAACCAAACACAGUUACAGAAGAGUCAGAUUCACAGUGCUCAGCCUACUGCAGAAACCAAACAAGUAGCUGCCAUUCCAGCCCCUCAGCCUAUCAAAAAUGAAUCCACACUGAUGAAUCCUGACUCCUUUGGCAUCCGAGCAAAAAAAACUAAGGAACAACUGGCAGAAUUGAAAGUCAGCUACCUUAAAAACCAGUUUCCUCAAGACUCAGAAAUUGUUAGACUUAUGAAAAUAACAGGCCUCACUAAAGGAGAGAUCAAAAAGUGGUUCAGUGAUACACGCUACAAUCAGAGAAACUCAAAGAAUAAUCAUGGGAUUCAUCUCAACAGUGAUUCAUGUGCCACCAUUGUUAUUGAUUCAAGUGAUGAAAUGAAUGAAUCUCCAACAGGAGUCACUCCACAGAGCAAGCCAUCUUGGGGUACUUUUCCCGAUUUCACCCCACAGAAAUUCAAAGAGAAGACUUCUGAACAGCUGCAAGUCCUCCAAGCAAGUUUUCUUAAUAACCCUGUCCUUACUGAGGAAGAGAUGAAUAGAUUAAGAGCCCAAACAAAACUGACCAGGAGAGAGAUUGAUGCCUGGUUUAUAGAAAAAAGGAAAUCAAAUGUCUUGAAGGAAGAGGGAGCUGACAUGAAUGAAAGCAAUGCUGGCAGCUCCAAAGAGGAGUCUGGAGAAACAUCUGUGGGAGAUGGAGCAGCAGGAACAAAAUCAGGGUGUUCUACUUCAAGCAAAAUAGGCAAAAAAUCACCAGAGCAGUUGCACAUGCUCAAAAGUUCCUUUGUCCGUACUCAGUGGCCAUCUCCACAAGAAUACAACAAGCUGGCAGAAGAAACUGGGCUUCCAAGAUCAGAAAUUGUGAGCUGGUUUGGAGAUACUCGCUAUGCCUGGAAAAAUGGUGGAUUGAAAUGGUAUUACUAUUACCAGAGUGCCAGUGCAAACAGUCUGAACGGCCAAGGAUUUUCAAGGAAGAGAGGGAGAGGAAGACCAAAAGGGAGGGGGAGAGGGAGACCUCGGGGGAGGCCUCGGGGAAGCAAGAGGUUAAAUUGCUGGGACAGAGGUGUAUCUGUCAUAAAAUUUAAAACUGGAACAGCAAUCCUGAAGGACUAUUAUAUGAAGCACAAAUUCCUUAAUGAGCAAGACCUUGAUGAACUGGUAGCCAAAUCUCACAUGGGAUAUGAGCAGGUCAGAGAAUGGUUUGCAGAAAGGCAAAGAAGAUUAGAACUUGGAAUAGAGCUGUUUGAUGAGAAUGAGGAGGAAGAUGAAAUGCUGGAUGAUCAGGAGGAUGAGGAAGAAACAGAUGAUAGUGAUACUUGGGAACCCCCUAGGCAUGUUAAACGUAAACUUUCAAAAACAGACUGAUGUACAAUUUGGAAUUUGGGGGCCAAAAACCUAUGAAUUAGGUUUGAUGUUAUUAUGAAGAGCCAAAUGAUUUUUCAUGGCCUUCAGUUUAGCAAGCAGCUGCUUAGCAUCUUCCUUCCACCUAAGAGUACCUGGGCAAGAUGCUACCUGUGCAGGCAAGAACUGUUUGCUUUGUUACUACAAGAGAUGAACAUCCUCAGGCCUGGCCUGGGACAGGGGGUUACAAAUCAGAUCAAGUUCAGCUCUUCCACACUACCAAUGGGAAGGUUCAUGUUCAUCAUACACGUGACUGCUUCUCAGUAUUUAAUUGCCUUAUGUUGUUUAAUUCCAAAAAAACACAGACACUUUUUUGUUGUUGUUGUUGCUGUAAGAGAACAUUGCCUGCUUGCGAAGGAGGAAAACACAAAAACAUUAGAUGUCUUUUUGUAAACAUCACUUCAUCUGAAAGGUUUCAAGGCCUGGCUCUCUUUCUUAAGGAAAGUGUUGAAAACAAAAGAGAAGGGGAAAAGUGUGGCAAAAGGAACCAAUGAACCUAGGGCUGCCCAGCGUGGUGAAGGGGAAGCAAUUCUUGAAAAAUUUCAAGAUAACUGGUUAACUGUGAAUGGGCCUAAUCUUUCGUGAAACCAAGAAAAUUUUUGGACACACACAGGACUUGAAUACUGAAAAGGAUUGGAACUUAGUGUUGUGCCAAAGCUAAACGACUGCAGUUGGCAGUUCUGCACUGUAAAUAGAAGACUGAUUAGAAGACAGCUUGUAAAAAAAAAAAAUCAAAUUUUAAUACAGUACGUUUUUAUUCUGAUACAUGAUGGAAACAUUCAGUUUUAAACCUUUUUUGAAGAGGCUUCAGUGACCACUAGAUUUUGUCCUCUUAUAUUUUGUUUGGCCUAAUACUAUAUGUUUUAGUAAGAUGGGCUGUAUUGCCUGUGUUCUUUGAUAUGUGAUUAAGCUUAUAGCUUUGAGUGACCAAACAUUUUACAGAGUAAAAGUUCUUAGAAACAGUAUAAUGUAACUGAUAUAUCUGUGUCUUAUUUAUCAGGCUCUGCACAAACUUGGAAAGUUGUGCUGGACUUGUACAACUCAUGUAUGGGAACGCAGCAUACUUCUGGAUAUUACAAACCUAAGCCUUUGUGGCUGUAUGGAUCUUGUCUUUGGAUUUAUUUUUGUUAUUUUUUUGAGGCAAAGAAACGAAUGGAUGCUGCUGUAAAAUAUUUGUAAUAUUGCCAUUAUUUCUUUCUGUAGCAAUUAUUGCUUCUGCUUCAACAGAUAAAGAAAAUAAAUCAGAGAUAGAAAAAUCCUAAAGACGCUGGUAGAAGAAAGGAUCAUGUGAGAACUUCUGAAAAUAAACUUUGUACCAAAAAUUUGAAAACAGAAAUAAUGGAAUAAAUGUCUCCUUACUGAG